UACGAGUGCCCCAAGCGUUAUCCGGAAUUACUGGGCGUAAAGGGUGUGUAGGUGGUUUGAUUAGUCUAUGGUUAAAACUCCCGGCUUAACCGGGAAGAUGCCGUGGAAACGGUCAAACUCGAGGGGGUGAGAGGUGUAUGGAACUCAUGGUGUAGGGGUGAAAUCCGUUGAUAUCAUGGGGAACGCCAAAGGUGAAGACAGUACACUAGCACCCAUCUGACACUGAAACACGAAAGCGUGGGGAUCGAAUGGG
rnacentral:rRNA from 1 species